CAGCAACCUGGCUGUAAAACUGCAGGGAGGUAGCAAGGGGUUCGUGCUUGGGGGGUUGCGCUCACCAUACUGUCUCGGGUUAAUGAGUCUACUCAAUGACUUACUUACGUAAUAAACCAGGGCAGUCUGAUCCACCGUGCUUCCACGGGAGGGUGAAUGGAGCUUGUUUUGUAGGGCUGUGUCAACAACUACUCAGGGAACACGCUGGAGGACAACUUCGCUGGAUUUAGACGCGACUGACGUCAAUAAUGACAUGGAUUCUUGGACACGAGGACAAGUGAGGAAAUGUGACAGUACACAUAGAACUUGGAUAAUUAAAUUGCCACAUUACUUUGAAAGGAUGUUCAGAAACCCGAUGGAGUAUUUUUUUGUACAUUUGCAACAAUGUCAUCUUGUUUAUUAAAAUGACAAUAUAUACAUCUUACACCUAAAUGUUGAAUCUAAAGAUCACUGAUGAAGCUCCUCCCCUGAGUUCAACGUGGGAACUUGGCAUCAGUACACCACUAGAUGGCGCCAAGCCAAUAUUAUAUUACCCUCAAUUAUGUAUGCAGUUUUUAAAAUGACAAUUAUUUUGUGGACCCCCAAGCUACGGCUCACGGAACCUUUAGGAGUCCCCAGAGCCCAGUUUCCCAACCCCUAGUUUAAAAAAAUAUAAAUCCGUAACUCCGCCCUACAAUAACAAGCAUUCCAGGGAGCUCAAGGCCUGCUGCAACCUGAUCCUUCCUCCCUUUGCUCUCUCUUUUCAAUGGACGCACCCCUGCAAGCAUAUGCAUGCUACGUGCAGGAUGAGCCGUGCUGUGCAUGUGGUGCACACUGUCCCCUCCCCCUGCCUGACGUCACAGUUGGAGUCACUUUUACACGAUUUUGGGCCAUCUGUGAGUCUAACAUGUUUUCUUUUGGAAGAUGUCGGAGUACCUGCAGAAAAACAACACAGGCAAAGGAAGAACAUGCAAACUUCAGCUUUAUUUGUUGACCAAAUAUGAUUCCUUGUCCCAAAUGCCUAAACCUUGAAAUAAAAAAAUGGAGUCAGUAAAUCUCUCUGGA